GUUUGCGCCAUCUUACGACUGAGGCUACAUAGAGCACGAGAUUGGACGGCCAGGAUAGUGCGCUCCCAUGUUAAGCGGUCGUGGCCCACUCUUUUAGCAUGAUCAAAUGGUGGUCAGGCCUUCCUUGCGGACCUAAUGGCCAGGAGUUGAUACUGGGUUGAUCCAAUCUCCAGACUUGAUUCUUCACAUGAUCCAAUGGCCCAGAACCCCUUGAUGGCAUGAUCGGAUGGUUAGCAAUGAUUUUAGCUUGAUUUGAGAUAUGAUGAAGCUAAUUUGCACCCAUUUGAUCCCGAUUGAAGGGCUGUGGUGCUCCACACAAAUUGGAUGCUGAUUCCACGCUAUUCCCAUGCUUUUUGGAUGUGGUUUGGAGCCCUAUUUAAAGGGUGGCCAUGGGCAACGAGAAAGAGGCAGUAGGCAGUUGCAGAAGUUUUUUUUAAUCUUUUUAGAUUUUAUUUUAGGAUUUGAG
rnacentral:lncRNA from 1 species